rnacentral:rRNA from 1 species
UACGAAGGGCGCUAGCGUUGCUCGGAAUCACUGGGCGUAAAGCGCACGUAGGCGGCUUUUUAAGUCAGGGGUGAAAUCCUGGAGCUCAACUCCAGAACUGCCUUUGAUACUGGGAAGCUUGAGUCCGGGAGAGGUGAGUGGAACUCCGAGUGUAGAGGUGAAAUUCGUAGAUAUUCGGAAGAACACCAGUGGCGAAGGCGGCUCACUGGCCCGGUACUGACGCUGAGGUGCGAAAGCGUGGGGAGCAAACAGG